AAGAAAAUAUUCAACAACUCACCAUUAAAAAUAUGAAAUUGUUGAAUUGUUCACUUAUUCUCUACUUCACUUUCCCUUCAAAUCCACUUUCUUUUUCACUUUUUUCUCUUCAUCAACAACUCCUCCUUCUUUUACUCACUUAAUCAAACAAUGCAAAUCUUGUAUCAAAGCCAAACUCAUUGUCACUGGGGCCUUUUUCACCUUCAGCAGGCCCAAAAUGCAAGCGUUUGGAAGAUGCUAAUAAGGUUUUUGAGUUAAUGGAGGUGAAAGAUGUGGUUUCUUGAAACGCGUGGGUAACUGAGU
rnacentral:lncRNA from 1 species